rnacentral:rRNA from 1 species
CCUACGGGAGGCAGCAGUGGGGAAUUUUGGACAAUGGGCGCAAGCCUGAUCCAGCAAUGCCGCGUGAGUGAAGAAGGCCUUCGGGUUGUAAAGCUCUUUUGUCAGGGAAGAAACGGUGGGGGCUAAUAUCUCCCACUAAUGACGGUACCUGAAGAAUAAGCACCGGCUAACUACGUGCCAGCAGCCGCGGUAAUACGUAGGGUGCAAGCGUUAAUCGGAAUUACUGGGCGUAAAGCGUGCGCAGGCGGUUUUGUAAGUUUGUCGUGAAAUCCCCGGGCUCAACCUGGGAAUGGCGAUGAAGACUGCAAGGCUAGAAUCUGGCAGAGGGGGGUAGAAUUCCACGUGUAGCAGUGAAAUGCGUAGAGAUGUGGAGGAACACCGAUGGCGAAGGCAGCCCCCUGGGUCAAGAUUGACGCUCAUGCACGAAAGCGUGGGGAGCAAACAGGAUUAGAUACCCUGGUAGUCCACGCCCUAAACGAUGUCUACUAGUUGUCGGGUUUUAAUUAACUUGGUAACGCAGCUAACGCGUGAAGUAGACCGCCUGGGGAGUACGGUCGCAAGNUUAAAACUCAAAGGAAUUGACGG